rnacentral:sRNA from 1 species
AAAUAAACGGUACAAAAUAAU